UACGGGGGGGGCGAGCGUUAUUCGGAAUUACUGGGCAUAAAGGGCGUUUAGGUGGCAUGGUUAGUUGUAGGUGAAAGCCCCGGGCUCAACCCGGGAAGUGCUUACAAUACUGCCGUACUUGAGGCCGGGAGAGGAGAGCGGAAUUCCUAGUGUAGCGGUGAAAUGCGUAGAUAUUAGGAGGAACACCAGUGGCGAAGGCGGCUCUCUGGACCGGUUCUGACACUGAAGCGCGAAAGCUAGGGGAGCAAACGGAAUUAGAUACUCCGGUAGUCCUAGCCCUAAACGAUGGGUACUUGGUGUGGCGGGUAUCGACCCCUGCCGUGCCGGAGCUAAUGCAUUAAGUACCCCGCCUGGGGAGUACGGUCGCAAGGCUGAA
rnacentral:rRNA from 1 species